rnacentral:lncRNA from 1 species
ACCAAUUGAAAUUAAUACAAGGACACAUUCCAAUUACGAGUUUGAAACUUACAGUUCAAUUAACAUAGCAUACAAACCAAAUCAAUACACGUGGAAUGUAUAGAUACAACAACAGACUAAUCAUGUCAAAUUUUUCAAAUAAAUUCAUUCCUCAUAGAAGCUGGUUUUACACAGUUCAACUCAUGGUCGUCAGAGAGCAAUUGUGUACCUAGAAAGUGAGGAUUAAAGGAAGAAGGAAGAAGAGGUUAGCGAAUCAGUGCAACACAGCAGCAGGCCACAGUGAAUUCAAUGAUCUGAAUAAGUUUCAAUACAGUCAGAUAACCAAUUGCAAGCAGCAACAAACCACAGGAACAAUCAUAAACCCCAAAAAUCACUCUGACACCCAAGAGCUUAUCACAGAAUCAACAACAGGACUAAUACCCUAUGGCUGACCUCAAAACUUGAAAUCACACAAAUAAUACCACAGCGAUUUUACCAAAUCAAUCACAGCAGGAUGAGUAUCAAUGAAACAAUGCCCUUAUACUUUUUUUGUUUGUUUCACUGUUUUUGGUUUUUUUUUUUCGUUUUGAAAUUCAAAUUUUGAAAGCUUCUUUAGUUAAAAAAAAUCCAGAAUCGAAGGGCUUUGGAACUAGAAAAUGGAUGAAGGAAAAGAGACAUUUUUUUGGUUUCUUAGAGUUUUUGUUUUUAUUUUUUGGGGUUUUUGAAUCUAAAGAGAACUAAAACCUAAAAUUUUGCAUUGAAAUUGAGCUUCAAAUCUGAAAAAUGAGCAGUCUACUAGGGAAUUUCGG